rnacentral:rRNA from 1 species
AUUGAACGCUGGCAGCAGGCCUAACACAUGCAAGUCGAGCGGAUGAAGGGAGCUUGCUCCUGGAUUCAGCGGCGGACGGGUGAGUAAUGCCUAGGAAACUGCCUGGUAGUGGGGGAUAACGUCCGGAAACGGGCGCUAAUACCGCAUACGUCCUGAGGAAGAAAGGGGGGGAUCUUCGGACCUCACGCUAUCAGAUGAGCCUAGGUCGGAUUAGCUAGUUGGUGGGGUAAAGGCCUACCAAGGCGACGAUCCGUAACUGGUCUGAGAGGAUGAUCAGUCACACUGGAACUGAGACACGGUCAAGACGCCUACGGGAGGCAGCAGUGGGGAAUAUUGGACAAUGGGCGAAAGCCUGAUCCAGCCAUGCCGCGUGUGUGAAGAAGGUCUUCGGAUUGUAAAGCACUUUAAGUUGGGAGGAAGGGCAGUAAGUUAAUACCUUGCUGUUUUGACGUUACCAACAGAAUAAGCACCGGCUAACUUCGUG